UGGCUGCAAGAGGGGAUGCUGCAUUUCCACCUGGCUCUGGGCUGAACCUGGUGAGAAGGAGCCGAGCAGUGCAUUUUCCCGUGCCCUCUCUUAUAGCAAGCCCAGACGUAAGGAGAAUUUUGCAGGUCUCUGCUUUAAUUUGCUGUUACGUGAGAGCCCUGAAGGUUUGGAAGUGGUGGUGGUCGGACUGGGGGUGGUGAAGGAUGUGGCUUCUGCAAGCACAGGGCAGGAGCUGGUCUGGGACCAUGCAGAUGCUGAGCGAAAGUCUCGUCUCCUUUUAUUCAGCAGAGUAAAAACCCCAAACUCGGUAUUACUGGACAGAAGGAGGCUGCGGUGUAACCACCCAGUUGAUUUUUCAGGCUCUCUGCUGGGUGAGGAGCCCAUUUCUGCUCGCACCAGAGGCUGCACUGGAGCGGAAACCUCGGCGCUGCACUUAGAGUUUAGGAAGCUACUUUGGAAAAUUGGACAUCUGGCGUCGAUGAGGCUGCUGAAAACCUGCCAGCUUUUGGUAUGCAUCACAUGGGAAGCCCUCGCUGUGCUGCACAAGCUGAUAACAGCUCACACCCAAAUCUCUGCUCAUGUCCAACAGGAGCAGGAUGCUGACUGCUCCCUGCUCCGCUCCAGGCUGAGCAGCACUGAUGUGACCGGAGAGCCACAUCCAGCCCGGGGUUCAUCUUGGCUCAGCAUCUUCUUACCAGACCUGUCCCACUGGCACAUGAACAGGCCUUCCAAAAGAAGAAUUAGCCAUUCUUCUUGCUUCCUGAAGCUGGUGUUUGAGUGAAGUGCACGCGGUGCUGAGAAAUCCUUCACUGUGCAGAGCUGCCUCAUCAGCAGAAGGGUGAGUGCCUGUGUGGGAAGGUCGGGAGGUUCUUGGGUUGCUGUCUGGUUGUUCACAGUCCUUUCGUCUAACAGUGGGCAUCCUUAGUCCUGCCUGCAUGCAGACAGCAUCGGUCACUAUCCCUCAGUCACUAUCCCUCCAUCAGCCCGGUAUGAACUAUCCCAAAAAUGCUGGAGAGGGCAGAACAUGAAGCACAGUGCUCCUCCCCUCUACAUGUUGCGUGCUGUUUCAUCAGCUAAAUCUGCUUUGAUGGGAUGCCUGAGACCCCCCCUUCUGUUGGGUGUGUUGUCCCGAAUUUCCUCCCAUCCCCUCCUC
rnacentral:lncRNA from 1 species